rnacentral:lncRNA from 1 species
AGUUUAAUACGGAGCGCUUGAUAAGAGAAAGAAUUAGGCUGGAAUGCUACUAAUAGUCAAAUAUUUUUUUUUGCUAUUAAGUUUUUAACUUUUGGAUAAAAAAUUAUAAGGUCAGGAUGAUAUUAGUCGGUUAGAGUUGAGUGGUGCCCCCAGGGUUGAGUAGUCUUCACUGGGUUAUAGUAUUUAAUCCAAUGAUUAGAAAUAAUGAAAAGAGUUGAUCUAAAAGCUAAAAAACUGGUACAACAAUGGGAUUUUGCUACUAAUAGUAUCCCAGUCCAACUCUAUAUAUAUAUAUAUAUAUAGAGCAGGGCUGCUGUGCUCUCAGACGCACGGAGGCCUUCGUGCUCCUAAGCUGUUUUCGAUGAUCGAAUUUUCGAAUCGACGAUCGGCUCCGUUAGACUUGAUCUAGCGCAUUUGAAGUUUCUAAAAAAUAAUUUUUAUGAUUUUUUGAUAUCAUAUACCUAGUGAUCGAAAGGAUUCAAAAUUUAUAAUUUUUAAUGGUUGAUAUCUGCCGUUUUCAAGUUUAACGGUGUAGACGUAUUCAAAUCAGAUGAAAUUUUGAUACAAAAUUCUUUAUACUAUCUACAACAAGAUCAAUAUUUCUGAUCGAAAAUUUUAGUGCUAUAUCACCACUUUUUAUAGGAUUUUUAUUUUCAACCGUUAAAAAUUAUUGAUUUUGAAUUCUUUCGAUUGCUAAGUAAAUGAUAUCGAAAAAUCGCAAAAUUUAUUUU